rfam:Hepatitis C virus isolate QC115, complete genome
CCAUUGCCGCAAGCGAGCCACCUGGAUCUCUCCAGCUGGUUCUCUGUGAGCGGCGGCGGGGGCGACAUUUAUCACAGCAUGUCAAUUGCCCGACCCCGCUAYUUACUCCUGUGCCUACUCCUACUUUCCGUAGGGGUAGGCAUCUUUUUGCUGCCUGCUCGGUAGGCGGCUA